AGGGUUUGAUCAUGGCUCAGGACGAACGCUAGCGGCGUGCCUAAGGUAUGCAAGUCGAACGGGGAAGAGAGCUUGCUCUCUUCCGAGUGGCAAACGGUCGAGUAACACGUAGACGACCUGCCUCCAAGAGGGGGAUAACUGCUCGAAAGGGCAGCUAAUACCGCAUGUGGCCGGAAGGGGCCUCCCUUCCGUGCUAAACGGGCAACCGGCUUGGAGAUGGGUCUGCGGCCUAUCAGCUUGUUGGCGGGGUAACGGCCCACCAAGGCGACGACGGGUAGCUGGUCUGAGAGGAUGAUCAGCCGGACGGGGACUGAGACACGGCCCCGACUCCUUCGGGAGGCAGCAAUGAGGAAUAUUGCGCAAUGGGGGAAACCCUGACGCAGCGACGCCGCGUGGGUGAGGAAGUCCUUCGGGAUGUAAAGCCCUUUUUUCGGGGACGAUCCAAGACGGUACCCGAAGAAUAAGCCCCGGCUAACUACGUGCCAGCAGCCGCGGUAAUACGUAGGGGGCAAGCGUUGUCCGGAUUUACUGGGCGUAAAGAGCGCGUAGGCAGAAGGUUAAGCGUGGCUUGAAAGCCCCCGGCUCAACCGGGGAGGGGGGCUGCGAACUGGCCUUCUUGAGGGCGACAGAGGAGUGUGGAAUUCCUGGUGUAGCGGUGAAAUGCGUAGAUAUCAGGAGGAACACCGGUGGCGAAGGCGGCACUCUGGGUCGGCCCUGACGCUGAGGCGCGAAAGCGUGGGGAGCGAACGGGAUUAGAUACCCCGGUAGUCCACGCCGUAAACGAUGAUCACUAGGUGUGUGCGGUAUCGACCCCGCACGUGCCGCAGCUAACGCAAUAAGUGAUCCGCCUGGGGAGUACGGCCG
rnacentral:rRNA from 1 species